UACGGAGGGGGCUAGCGUUGUUCGGAAUUACUGGGCGUAAAGCGCGCGUAGGCGGACCUGCAAGUCGGGGGUGAAAGCCCGAGGCUCAACCUCGGAACUGCCUUCGAUACUGCGGGUCUCGAGUCCGGGAGAGGUGAGUGGAAUUCCUAGUGUAGAGGUGAAAUUCGUAGAUAUUAGGAAGAACACCAGUGGCGAAGGCGGCUCACUGGCCCGGUACUGACGCUGAGGAGCGAAAGCUAGGGGAGCAAACGGG
rnacentral:rRNA from 1 species